UGAUGACUCAGCAUGUUAGUUUUAAGAACACUUUCACAGCAGAUUUGACAAAGCACGAAGAAGGUACCAACGUGAAAUUUCUAAAAACAGCUACAGCACUCGACCCAAGGUUUAAGACUCUGAAGUGCUUUAUAGAGCCAUAGA